rnacentral:lncRNA from 1 species
UUGUUGGCAAUUAUGUAAUCGAAACUAAAGCCCUAUUUGAUACAGGGCUAGAUUACUGCUAUAUUCCUGAAAACCUCAUUCCAAUCCAAAUUUUAGAACUCUUAGAAAAACCAACAAUCCCAAGUUCAAUAUCGAAUUCAAAUUUCCAAAUAUACAAAACCAAUUCUUAGUUACCUUUUUUUUAACUAAGUAUCUGACUAACCAUAUCAUUCUAGGAGCAUUCUUUCUCAACCAAUCAGUUCCUUUCCAAAUCACUUGUAAAGGGAUAAUAUCCCAACCUUUUAAUUCUAUAUUCUUUAAACUAACUAAUUCUUUGUGUAGAAGCAUAGCAGAAGAAGGAAACUCAUCGUCAUACAAUCCAGAGAAGAAACAAGCAAACAGCUAACUCUUCGACGGAUACUCUAAUUGGGUACAAACUUUUUUUGAAGAAAUAUCCAGCAACCAAACUAAUGAAGAACAAACAUCAUCAAACUGGAAUCAAGCCAGUGGAAGCCAAACAUCAAAUUGGAUUUGGAUCCUUGAUGAAUCAUCCUCAAAUUGGAUAUCUUCAUCUUCAAAUUGGAUACUUGCAGAAACAACUUCAAGUUGGAUACCUGAUGAAACAGUCUCAAACCAAUUCCAAGCAAUUGAUUAGACUUCAACAAUAAAUUGGAUUCAGGAAACUGAAUAGGAUGAAAAUUCGUUUCUAAUUCCUGAAGAUCCUACUACUCAAUCCUUCCAGAUCAAACUCAGAUAUAAUACUUUCUCACGUCUCUGGAUGGAAUAUCAUUACAUCUAAAAUGAGAGAAAAGAAUCCAGGAUUAGAAACUUUAAUAUUAUAUACCUUAACAAGGAUACUGGUGAAAGAAUCCCUUGCUAUACAACACACAGAUUCAAUCAUGUUGGAGCAGCAAACUCAAACUACUCGGUACAAACAUUAAAAGAACAAUGCUUCAUGCAGAGAAGAAACAUCCAAAGAAUGGUUCUCAACAAAGGAUUUGACAGUAAUCUUCUUUUCGUCCAGAUUUAUCAGCAUCUGAUUCGAUUAGAGGAUUUGACAGUUAGGCUUCUAAAAUAUUGACUUUUUAGUUGAAUUUGUAAGGUUGAGUUACAUGUCUAGAUUCAUGGUUUCUGAAAAAGGAUAAGGUUGGUUGUUUGAUAGGGGAGACAGGGUUUGUAAGUUUGGGCUGUUUAUUGGGCUUUGUAUGGUUGCUAGAUAGCCCAAACUGUUUGUAAAGAGGUCCAAAAUUUCUU